rnacentral:rRNA from 1 species
UACGGAGGGUGCGAGCGUUGUCCGGAAUCAUUGGGCGUAAAGGGCGCGUAGGUGGCCCGGUCAGUCUUUGGUGAAAGCGCGGGGCUCAACCCUGCGUCGGCCAGGGAUACUGCCGCGGCUCGAGCACUGUAGAGGCAGGCGGAAUUCCGGGUGUAGCGGUGGAAUGCGUAGAGAUCCGGAAGAACACCGGUGGCGAAGGCGGCCUGCUGGGCAGUUUGGCUGACACUGAGGCGCGACAGCGUGGGGAGCAACAGGG